rnacentral:rRNA from 1 species
GAUGAACGCUAGCGGCAGGCUUAAUACAUGCAAGUCGAACGGGAUUCGGGGGUAGCGAAUACUUUGAUGAGAGUGGCGCACGGGUGCGUAACGCGUAUGCAACCUACCUUUAACAGGUGAAUAGCCCCGAGAAAUCGGGAUUAAUACACCGUAACAUUGCGCUGUGGCAUCACAGUGCAAUUAAAGAUUUAUCGGUUAAAGAUGGGCAUGCGUGACAUUAGCUAGUUGGUGAGGUAACGGCUCACCAAGGCAACGAUGUCUAGGGGUCCUGAGAGGGUUAUCCCCCACACUGGUACUGAGACACGGACCAGACUCCUACGGGAGCAGCAGUAAGGAAUAUUGGUCAAUGGGCGCAAGCCU